CAGACCGGUGGUGAUCACCGGAGUCAGGGUUCCGGUGGUGCGCUAGAUCAAUCCAGGCCAUCUGAUCUGGUUCUCAUGUUCUAAUCUCACGCGUCCAAAGUGAUUACCAUGCGUGUGCACGCAUUGACUAUAGUGUUUGGUGGAAGCGCGCGCUUGGCCAUCAGAUCUGCCACCUCAAUGAAUGAGGGAGAUCUGAUGGCCCUUGUUUUUUUUUUGUUUUUUUUUCUUCUGAUUUUU
rnacentral:lncRNA from 1 species